GAUUAAGUUAUUGUAUGUGAUAAGUAGUGUAUAUGCGGUUUGUUUAUCAUAAUACAUGAUAUCUUACAGUUAGAUAAAAAGCCUUUCAAAACCCAUCAAUAUAGGUGUUUUAUGUUUCAAUUAUGCAUUGCAAAUUUAACUGCAUGUAUAGUCUCUUUAACAUGAGAACACUCGAGGCCAAGAUAUCCUAUACUACUUUCUUUCUCCUAGUGAGAACAUAGUCAAAUCUCUGAAGUUCUAUCCUGCAUAAGCAAUCAAAACGCUGAACCUUCUAAAACCUUAUAGUCAAACUCACCACAUGUAUGAAUCUAAAGAAGGAAUAGUCAUCAAUUCACCAUGCAACUCUAUUGUACUUCCUACUUCUAUCUAUUGAAAGAAAGCCACAAUUCGCUUCACAUAAAACUUGGGGGGAAAACACUGGUGCACACAACAUAUCAACAACAGACGUUUCCUACUUGCAUUGUCUGACUAUAGAGAGAAACAUGAUGAUAUUUAGGGAAACAAAACUAUAUUAACAGUCUUAAUAGAUUGCAUAUCUAUAUAUUUAAUUA